UGCAGGCAGGCGGCUCCCCUGCUUAUGACAGAUUUCAAAUAUGCGGAGCACGAUUGCAGGGCCAGCUUUCCCAGACCCAAGGAGCAAAAUGGGUGGGCUGGAAUGUUGGGUGAAGGAAAACGAACAAGAUAACAAGUGGAGGAGCUGAUGAGAACAGGAAGUGCCGUGCGGUGGGUACCGCGGAGGUACUGUGAGAAGACUGAGUGGAGAGGAGAGGCUCUGGAGCCCAGCCCUGGCUGCCUGGCAUCUCUCAAAAACCUGAAGCUCACCAUGUUGGCUGGACUGACUGGCCUGGGAUCUGCCUGUCUCUGUCUCCUCAACACUGCGAUGGAUUGAACAUUGUAGUGUGAAGUUAGGGCCUCAGAGUGUCAUUUAUUCACUUGGAGGUUUAUGUGUGCUGCAGUCAGCAUCACAUUGCUAUCAGAAAAACACACAAUCAAGAGCAGCUUAUGGAAGAUUCCACAAGCUCCAGACUCCAGGGGAAGCUCCAUGAUGGCAGGGGAAAAUGAAGGCAUGAGCAGAGGGUGGACAUCACCUCCUGGCCAGCAUCAAGUGGACAAUAGCAGCAGGACAGUGUGCCAAACACUGGCAAGGAGAAGCUGGCUAUAACAUCCAUAAGCUCUCCUCCAGCAAUCCAUCACCUCCAGGAGACUCCAAGUUGCCACCAGCUGGGGACCUAAGCAUUCAGAACACAUGAGUCUGCAGGGGACACCGGAAUCAAGCCACCAGAGUGUAUGUUACUACUGAGAAGUAAAAUCUGGGAGAUGGCAUGAGGGAUGAGCAGGCAAAUCUGUAUCUCGUGCCAGCGAACAGUGUGGUAGAGCCCAGCCGAGCCUGAGCUGUCACUGCUCAUAAUUACUGGGCCUCAAUAUGUCAUCCUACCAGGCACCAGAGGCAAGUUUAUGACUUUUUAUUCUAAUCUGUCAUUUUAGAAAAAGCAGUAAGAUAUUCGUACCAAUAAACCCUGAUUGAGAAGUGGGUCUUGGGCUGGAGAAAGGAGACAUCUCCUUCCAUGUCUGGAGAUGGGCCAUGGGCUUGUACUGGGAGUUGUAGCUACCUGUGGUCUGCUUCU